rnacentral:rRNA from 1 species
CCUACGGGAGGCAGCAGUGAGGAAUAUUGGUCAAUGGGCGUAAGCCUGAACCAGCCAAGUCGCGUGAGGGAUGAAGGUUCUAUGGAUCGUAAACCUCUUUUAUAAGGGAAUAAAGUGCGGGACGUGUCCCGUUUUGUAUGUACCUUAUGAAUAAGGAUCGGCUAACUCCGUUCCAGCAGCCGCGGUAAUACGGAGGAUCCGAGCGUUAUCCGGAUUUAUUGGGUUUAAAGGGUGCGUAGGCGGCCUUUUAAGUCAGCGGUGAAAGUCUGUGGCUCAACCAUAGAAUUGCCGUUGAAACUGGGAGGCUUGAGUAUGUUUGAGGCAGGCGGAAGGCGUGGUGUAGCGGGGAAAUGCGUAGAUAUCACGCAGAACCCCGAUUGCGAAGGCAGCUUGCCAAGCCAUGACUGACGCUGAUGCACGAAAGCGUGGGGAUCAAACAGGAUUAGAUACCCCAGUAGUC